UUAUGGCUCAGGAUGAACGCUAGCGACAGGCCUAACACAUGCAAGUCGAGGGGCAGCGCGGAGUAGCAAUACUUGGCGGCGACCGGCGCACGGGUGAGUAACACGUAUGCAACCAACCCAUAACAGGGGGACUAACCCGGAGAAAUCCGGACUAAUACCGCAUAAGACCACGAUAUUGCAUGAUAUAGAGGUCAAAUAUUUAUGGGUUAUGGACGGGCAUACGUCUGAUUAGCUGGUUGGCGGGUAACGGCCCACCAAGGCAUCGAUCAGUAGGGGUUCUGAGAGGAAGGUCCCCCACAUUGGAACUGAGACACGGUCCAAACUCCUACGGGAGGCAGCAGUGAGGAAUAUUGGUCAAUGGGCGAAAGCCUGAACCAGCCAUGUCGCGUGAAAGGAUGAAGGUCCCAUGGAUUGUAAACUUCUUUUGCAGGAGGGUAAAGUGAGCUACGUGUAGUUCAUUGCAAGUACCCUGCGAAUAGGCAUCGGCUAACUCCGUGCCAGCCGCCGC
rnacentral:rRNA from 1 species